rnacentral:lncRNA from 10 species
CUAGAAAUUUACUUAGGGUUCUGUGGACUCUUUCACUUUGGCCUGUGAAGACUUCUGACUACUGGAAAGCAAGAAGUAGGAGAUGGUUUCAGCAUCCACCCUUCUCACGAUGGGGUUCCUUACAUAUGAGAAUCUGAUGCCUACCAGAAGAAACUCUGACCCAGACAGGAUCAUUGCAUAAGAGGUUGGUUUUAGAAGUAGAGUUGGCUGAAAUUAAAGUCUCGAGUGACAUGAAGACAGUGUUAAAGAUAAAUCCAAACUCUUCUUUAUUGCUUGACACUUUUCCAAUCAGCAUUGACUUCAUUCCUGGCAAGCUGAUGUAACAUGAAUGAGUUAUGAAGCCAAAGAUCGCAAGAAGAGCACACUUCUUAACAGCCACUUCAGAGGUGACAGCCAGGGAAUAAGAAAUAAGGAAGAACUUUCCAGAGGAUGGAGCCACCACAAAUAAUAAUGGAAAAGAAGGUUCCUCCCAGAGAUUAGAUUUAG